GCGUUCCAGAAAGUGUCAGCUCAUUUUCUGCUCUCUCUCCAUACAGAGCAACAUCCUUUUGCGAUUUCCCCCUCUUUCUUCUCUCCUUUUUGAGGAGGCCAGGCAGAGUUUCGAAAGCUUCCUGUGAACUAUGUAAUCGGGCACAUUUUCAAAAGCAAUGCCUUAUUUCUUGUGAAGAGCGUGUUAUUCUUUCCCUCCUGUCAGCCCUCGGAAGCAAUGGGCUUGCUUUGCAGUCUUCGUGUGCAGGAUUCCAAGUCUGCUUCUCAAAGGCCCCUCCGUGCGUCCGCCGGUUCCUUCCUGCUGGCCUCACCAGUUUUAUUCCAUCCCACUCCGAUCCGAGCGGGGCCAAACUGGCCUCGUUCCUCCUUUCAUUCUUGUCUUCUCUUGCAAGCUUUUUCUACUUUCUAUGCAAAAAGCAAAGUGCAGAAGGCCGGGCGUUGCCAUGGCAGUGGUGUUGCUGUGGGCCUCUAGUGGGUUUGAGCUCUAAACUUUGAGAAAAAGAAUGGCCUCAAAGAAGUUGGAGGGAGAGCAAGAGAAAGAGAGAAAAAUCAAACAGGACAACAGCCUCGGAGGGGGAGAGUGCGGGGAAAGCAGGGCAAAGCCCCGACAUGCAUUUGCGGUGACAUCACUGCCUUUCCCACCGGGCCAUUGACUGGGCGGCCAGCGUCCAUUCAGCGCCCGCCCGGGGCCGGCUCUCCAGGCCCCGGGAGCCAUGGCUCUGGUCCUGAAUACCGUUUUUGUUGGGAAACAGUGGCCCGUUUCUGAAGGCCGCAUAAAUGGCUGAGUGAUUCACGGCCGUUGCCAGGAAGUCUGAGGCACUUGUGAGCUCACAAUGGUGAACUUUAUCUCCCGGCCCAUGCGGGAAGUUCCAGCUGCAGGCCCUGAAUUCUAAUAAGGGCUUCACCCGUGCUCUGAGGUUGUGGUUCUUUAAAAUGAGAAGCCUCAGCAAAUGCCACUCCAGAAGGAAGUCUCAGAGCGGUGAUGAAGACCUUUGACUCUCUCCGACCCCUCCGCCAGUGAUCACGAUGAGCUGCCCUUUGCUGCAGCACCCAGACCCUGGGCUUCUCCAAAUCCUGCCAUUCACGGAUCUACAAAGAAUCUCCAUGGGAAGGCGCAUCACCUCUCCUGAGAAGUAGCUGCAAGCUGGGUCAGUCCUCCACAAAGCUGCUGUGGCCAGGGGACCUUUUGCAAGUGAGCCCAGCAGGACAAGGACAGCAGUCACAAGCCAUUAUCUUCAGCCACGUCCACACCCUCAAAAACGCCGUGAGCAAAGAGAGCCAAUUUGAAACAAGAGACCUGAUGUCACUGUGGGGUGUGGAGGAUGUUGUGUUCAUACCAAACAAAAUCACCUCCCUGCUGCUCGUUCGUCGUGCCCCCGAAGCCCUCAGACUUGGUGACAUCGUGCUAGAGUGACAAUAAUGAGCGGAAGUUGAGACAUUUCCCCAUCAGUUUUGUUUUGUUUUCUCUCUUUCCUGCUCAUUUCCUCUCCCCCAUUUUUAAAGCUCUAGCUGGCUGGCUGUCGUGAGCAGCCAACUGGAGGCUUUCUGGGGUGAUCAGGGCAAGUCAGAACCCAAGGGGCUCCGCCGCAGGAGCCGACUUCAUCAGUGAAGCCUCCAGAUGCCGCACAGCGCACCAUUCCAAUGGACACCGGGUAUGAAGAGAGCUGCCUGUGGGUAACAGAAGCACAGAACAGAAUGAGAGAGUGAUAGUUCUCAGAAUCACACUGAGAGCUCCACAGGAAGGCUAGGAAACACCGUGCAGAUGAAAGAGAAGCAGGAAGAGGGUUUUGGCCAGAGCCAGUGCAAAACAAUUAAGAGUGAAAAGACUAAGAACAGGCCUGCUGGUGAAGAACUGGGGCAGAUUUGGCUGUGGGGCAGCAGGCCGUGCUUGUCCAAAACCACCGGCCAACCCACACAGCGUGCCCAGGGCCCGAGGCCCACAAACUCUGCUGGCCAUCAGCAUUUGGGGUGGUUGGUUCAUUUUCAGUCUAUCUCUGCAGUCUUCUUCAGAAACAGAACUUAAUUUUAAACCCAGGUACUUUAUCCUUGGUUUUAAUACUUAAUUUCUACCAGAUUACAUUGCUGCUUUGAAAUAGUCUGUGAGAAUUUCAAGUGAAGUCGUCACUUUUGAGAGGAACACAAAUGAAGCCACUAGAUUGACCUAACGGAAUGCAAGGGUAACCAGAACAAAGGGCAUUAUUUUGUGAAUUUUGACACUCUCUUUUGUUACAUUCCUCUGUUGGCCAGCUGAACACACUGGGUAUGUAUUUAUAUUUCUAACAUUCUUAGGUUUCUAUAUGCGUAUUAACUUUUUUUUUCUUUUUUGGAGAGG